UAGGGAAUCUUCGGCAAUGGACGAAAGUCUGACCGAGCAACGCCGCGUGAGUGAAGAAGGUUUUCGGAUCGUAAAACUCUGUUGUUAGAGAAGAACAAGGACGUUAGUAACUGAACGUCCCCUGACGGUAUCUAACCAGAAAGCCACGGCUAACUACGUGCCAGCAGCCGCGGUAAUACGUAGGUGGCAAGCGUUGUCCGGAUUUAUUGGGCGUAAAGCGAGCGCAGGCGGUUUCUUAAGUCUGAUGUGAAAGCCCCCGGCUCAACCGGGGAGGGUGAUUGGAAACUGGGGGAAUAGAGUGCAGAAGGGGAGGGUGGAAUUCCAUGUGUAGGGGUGAAAUGCGUAGAUAUGUGGGGGAACACCAGUGGAGGAGGCGGCUCUGUGGUCUGAAACUGGCGCUGAGGCGAGAAAGCGUGGGGAGCAAAGAGG
rnacentral:rRNA from 1 species